rnacentral:rRNA from 1 species
AACGAACGCUGGCGGCAGGCUUAACACAUGCAAGUCGAACGCCCCGCAAGGGGAGUGGCGGACGGGUGAGUAACGCGUGGGAAGCUACCCAUCCCUACGGAAUAACGCAUGGAAACGUGUGCUAAUACCGUAUACGCCCUACGGGGGAAAGAUUUAUCGGGGUUGGAUGAGCCCGCGUUGGAUUAGCUAGUUGGUGGGGUAAAGGCCUACCAAGGCGACGAUCCAUAGCUGGUCUGGGAGGAUGAGCAGCCACAUUGGGACUGAGACACGGCCCAAACUCCGACGGGAGGCAGCAGUGGGGAAUAUUGGACAAUGGGCGCAAGCCUGAUCCAGCCAUGCCGCGUGAGUGAUGAAGGCCUUAGGGUUGUAAAGCUCUUUCACCGGAGAAGAUAAUGACGGUAUCCGAAGAAGAAGCCCCGGCUAACUUCGUG